rnacentral:sRNA from 1 species
GUAAUAAUUUAGGGACUAAAUUUGCUAUUUUAUGAAACUUUGAAGGUAUCAAAGUAAAGGGGCUAAAAUUACAAAAUCGUAAAAGUAUGGGGAGGGGAGGCAAAGUCGGUAGGGUUUCCACCGACUUUGUCC